rnacentral:lncRNA from 1 species
CUUGUAUCUCAGUGUGGAUUGAACAGAAAAUUGGAAAUCAUAGUCAAAGGGCUUCCCUUGGUUCGCCACUCAUUUAUUUGUAACUUGACUUCUUUUUUUUUCUGCUUAAAAAUUUCAAUUCUCGUGGUAAUACCAGAGUAGAAGGAGAGGGUGACUUUACCGAACUGACAGCCAUUGGGGAGGCAGAUGCGGGUGUGGAGGUGUGGGAAAAUGACUGUCAAUAAAAUGCGGGUUUCGGGGCAAAAAAAA